UCCCUCCUUGUGCCAGCGAUUAAUCCCUCUCUCUGUUUAUCCUCUUUCUUUGUUUGUUUCAUGUUCAGCUUUCUUUGUAUCUCACAGCAAAUAAUCUGCUCCGUUUCGCUUUGUUCUUUCUGUCUGUCUCUGUUUCAUCUUGAGAUUUGUUCUUAUCUCAAUUUCACUGAUUUUCCUACUACUUUCGAUACCAUCGAUUAAUUGAUCGCCCCCGCACUUGUUUAUCACAAGUUAUACUGAAUACUUUUCUCCCCAGGUGGCCUGUUUUUCCCUUGCUCUUCUUCUUGCACUUCGGUGAAUUACUGUGGUAAUUAUUCUUCUUUCUACUUCUUCUACGAUGGCUUACAUGUUUCAUAGGAUACUAGGAUUUAAUAUUCUAAUAAAAAAGUAAAAUAUUAAUCCCAAGUGAAAUACGGUAUUAAACGCAAAGACAACAGUAACAAUUAGAGUAACAACAAAAGUUUUAUUCUAUUCAAUUGGAUGCUUUUUGAGGGGGCACAAACUGCACAAGUUUCGAUUAAAAUCUCAAGGAAGGAUUUAGGGCUCAAAAUAGAGGUUGCUGCAAUUUUCCAAUUAGUUGGGUUUUUAUUGGUUUUAGUGUAGUUCUGCGUUAAAGUUUUGGCUUUCCUGAAGUUUUCAGCUAUUUGUUUAAAUAGGUUGGUUAUUAUUUCUUGAAAUAUUUGGUUGUACUUCUUGGUUUGUGUUUAAUCGUCGGAUUUUGAUGAUUUUUCGCUCCUACAGUAACAGAAGAGAUUUACUUUUACUUCUGCUUCUAAGCGCAUCUUUUUGACAUGAAGGUUAGUGGUUAGAGCAGGCCGGAGAGAUUUCAGUAUAUAUUAAGGUAUUACUUUGUACUCUAAGUUGCCUUCUCUGGUUAAACUAUCUAAGUGAUUUAGGGUGUUGUUGGACUUUUUAACUGAAGAAAGGAAAACGCAAUUGGUCAAGUGUGAAACUUGUGCAGGACUUUUAGAUAUGGUUAACUUCCUAACUAUUCAUUGAGUUGUUUAUGUCUUCAUUUUGAUCUUACUGUUGUUGGGGUUUGUUGCACCAUAAUGGACUUGUUGUCCAGUUUGUGAUAUCUUAUUUGCAACGACACCAUCUUUAAGGAAGUCUUGCACUAAUAGUAGAAUCUGAAAAGUAACUUUUAAAUACAUGUCUAUCAAUUUCUUAUCACAAAGUGCUUGAAUGAUGAGUUUCAUAUUAUAAAAUACUUGAAUAGAUAAUCUCUUUUAUUUUCAACAUAUAUUAAGUGUUAAUAUUCUCUGUAUAUGAAUUUUUUUUAAUUUCAAAUCAGAUAUUUAUAAUUGAUAAAUUUCACUUCAAAUAAGAUGGAUAUUUGAUUGCAUCUCACAUAAAUAAUUUGUGCUGUCUUUUUCUUAAAAAUGUAAUAACAUCACACCUCAAGGCUUUUUCUAUGUUUUUUUUAUUUUUCUUUACUGCUAUCAAAUUUCUAACAGAAUUUUCUCGCCCAAGUGUGAUGUGAGGUUAUAAAUGCAUAUACGUUGAUAACCACUUAGCGAUAAUUUGGCAUUCACUAUAGCUGAAAACCCAUGUAAGCUCACUAGAGCACAUGGAAUGAGCUAAAGAACAACAAACUGUAGCUUUCUUUAACCACAACAAACGCUAUUCUAAUGGCAAAAGAAAGCAAAGGCAGAGGCACAAACUACUAGAUUUCUUCUGCUAGCAUUUGCAAUUACAAGUAUUUUAUUUGAUUUUUACCUUGUUUGUUAUAUGUCCUUCUAUUUCUAAAUUAUGGAGCUUUGUGAGAGUAAAGCUUUGGCCAAUUUCGGGGUUUCAUACUCUCAGCUCCAUGAUUAGAAGAGUUACUUAUCUCGAACAAGCCAAUUCCAACACCGAGCAAGCCAAGCGAUGCUCCAAAAUAUCAUCCUGCGCGUUCCGACCUCCGAACGACUCGAAACUAACCAAAAAUAACUCAAAUACGUCAAACAAUGCUAAUGAACCAAUCCCGAUCGAAAAAGAUCAAAUCUUGAACCAAAAGCCCAAAAUCGGCCAAAAGCCUAACCCGGACCCGCACCUCGCAACCCGAUAAAAUUUAUAAAAUCCAACAACCCAUUCAAUUACGAGUCCAACCAUACUAGUUUCAUUCAAAUCCGACUCCAAUUCGAUGUUCAAAACUCAAAAAUUCAUAUUAUAAAACUUUAGGCCAAAACCCCCAAUUUCCUCUUUAAAAUUCACAAUCCAAUUACCAAAAACAAAGGUAGAUUCAUGAAAUAUAACCAAAACCGAGUAGAGAACACUUACCCCUAUCCUUGUGAUAAANNNNNNNNNNNNNNNNNNNNNNNNNNNNNNNNNNNNNNNNNNNNNNNNNNNNNNNNNNNNNNNNNNNNNNNNNNNNNNNNNNNNNNNNNNNNNNNNNNNNNNNNNNNNNNNNNNNNNNNNNNNNNNNNNNNNNNNNNUAAAAAUUGCUCCAACAAUCCCCUCAAUCCAAGUCCCACAUCUCAAAAUAUGAAGAAAGAAUCAAAACCUCGAUUUAUUUGCGGACAAAUAGUCGCAUCUGCAGUAACUGUUUCGCUUCUGCGACCACAACUAACCAGCUGGCCCCUCGCACCUGCGAAACGAUUUCUGCUUCUGCGCACUCGCAGGUACGACUCCUCCUCUACAUCUGCGAUGACCUCCAGCCACGCCUGCAAAGUGACUAGACCAAUGAGUUUCUGUUAAACUUUGAUUACAUUCACUCUUUUUUCACUAUCGGAAAGAGUUUUCCUUCCUUUUUUGUUCCAAUAGUUUUCAUGUCCCAACUUUUGAAUGGCUACAAGGAAAACUCAAAUGUUCAGGCUUCUAUUAUAGUAAAAGUUGUGCCUGAAAUAAGUUAACACUAUUAGUUUUGCUGCUUGAUUUCUUAUAUGUUACUUUGCGUGAAUUAUGGAACUUUACGAAUGUAAAGCGGUGACGUAAUUGUUAAUAGGUCAAUGAAUUUGUGUUCUGUUCAAUCUAUCUGUUAUCUUUUUUUCACGAUUCAUUUAUGGUGUACAUUGUGAUACUUUUAGUGAUGUAUAAAUAUUGUAAUUAUAGAAGUGUUUGGGCAUUUGUAGUGUCUAUACUUUCAAUUGUACUGUAAAUCUCUUUGUCUGUUAAACUUUUAUAGAUUGCUCGAACUGCUGAUGUCGACCGAUAAAAAGCAUUUGGCAUCACCUUACUGCCCGC
rnacentral:lncRNA from 1 species